UUUUUCUUCUAAGUUAUUUCUAAUUAAUUAAGUAUAAAAUUGAAUUCAAUUGUUUCAAUAAUAGUAUAUACAGAAUUCUAAAUUAUAACUCCAUCAGUUUCUUCAAAGCUUUUUAGUUUAACCUUUUCACAAUAUUUGGUCUCUACUUCCAUUGCUAUGCGGUUUGUUGAGGCAAGAUGUCCCUCUGGAGUGCAGUAGUGCAAUCACAGCUCACUACCCCCUCGACAUCCUAGGCCCAAGUGACCAUCUACUUCAACCUCUCAAGUAGCUGGGACCACAGGUGCGCACCACCAUGACCAGUUAAUUUUUCCUAUUUUUUGUAGAAAUAGGGUCUCGCUUUGUUGCCUAGGCUGGUCUCAAACUCCUGGGCUCAAGCAAUCCUUCCACGUCGGCCUCCCAAAGUGCUGGGAUUGUAGGUGUGAGCCACCACACCUGGCCUGUUUGUUUUUUUAAUCCCAUGAUUUACCUUUCUGUUUCCCCUAUACCUGAGACUUGGUAACCAUCUCUUCACAUACUUACAGUUAAUUGUUCACCAUUCAUCACACCUGGAUGUCCUGCAUUUGACUGAACAUGCCCAGUUCUUUUCACAAUUUCUCAUAGGUCUAAUUUCACAAACCUUUCAUCAGUUGCUGUUCUCUGAACAGUCUCCAAGUUUUUUCUCUUUAUAUAGUAUGACAUGUAAAAUUAAAUAUAGUUUGUUCCAACUGAAGCCUGCCCAGUGCCAAAUAAAGCAAAAAUAAUUGCUUCCCUCCUUUUUCAUGCAUAUGCCUUAAUACAAUUCUAUGAAGUAUUUGUCUCUUAUUUCAAUUCAUCCAACUUAACACCAACCAUAAUUGUUGGCUCUCCCUUGGCUGUUUCAUCUACAGCUGUCUUUGCCAGUAUUUCCGCAUGUUUGCUGCAAUUCAGUAGCAUAUUAAAAGUUACAUGUUAAAUUUCUAAGAGGAAUUCUUUCACACAUUUUUUAUUUAAAAAUUGCCCCAUGAACAAUGUGGAUGUAGUGUUUGGGGCCUCAAGAACUAAGGCUUGAACAAUUCCAAGUACUUUGGUGGUGGGAACUGGAAAGACAGAUUUAGAUGGAGAGGUACCAGAAGAGAUUGCUGAAAACCGGAGAAAGAUGGCUGCCUUUGGUUUUCUCUUUGUUUUUGUUUUUUGAGACAGAGUUUCGCUCUUGUGGCCCAGGCUAGAGUGCAGUGGUGCGAUCUCGGCUCACUGCAACUUCCACCUCCUGGGUUCAAGCGAUUCUCCUGCCUCAGCCUCCAGAGUAUCUGGGACUACCGGCGCGUGCCACCAUGCACAGCUAACUAUGUAUUUUUAGUAGAGACAGGGUUUCACCAUGUUGGCCAGGCUGGGAGAUCAAACUCCCGACCUCAGGUGAUCCACCUGCCUCAGUCUCCCAGAGUGGUGGGAUUACAGGUGUGAGCCACGGCGCCGGGCCAACUGCCUUUGUUUUCUGCUAUCACAGUUCUUUGGUUGUAAGCAAGGGAAACCAAUUUCAGCUAAUGUAAGCAAAGGGGAAUUUGUCAGAACUAUAUCAGAGGAUUUUCAGCUGGCUGGAGAAUCAUGCUUAGAAACUGGCAAACACCAACAAUGCUCCCAAAAGCAGCUAUCUCAGGCAUAGUUUAUAGAAGAAGAGAGCUGGGUGUGGUGGUUCACAACUACAACUCAGUGCUUUGGGAGGCUGGAGGUGGGAGGAUUGCUUGAGGCCAAGGGUUCAACAUCAUCCUGGGCAACAUAGUGAAACCCUGUCUCUACAAAAAAUAAGUUUAAAAAAUAAGGCAGGUAUAGUGGCACACUCCUCAGGAGACAGAGAGGAGGAUUGCUUGAGCCCAGGAGUUCAAGGCUGCAGUGAGUUAUGAUUGCACCACUGCAUUCCAGCCUGGGCAUCAGUGUGAGACCAUGUCUCUUUAAAAAAAAAAAAAAAAAAAAAAGCAUUAGUGUCCAUCUUUGGGGCCUCUUCCUUGGUUCUUCCCCAGUUCCAAAUUCUAAACAAACCUGGACACUGGAUGUGAGGCACUGUGGGGGAUUCUAAGAGUAAAAAUACACAACCAGUGCCCUUCGGGAUGUUACAAUCUAGGAAGGAGAGAAAGAUACACAAAUAGUGAAAUAUAAACCCAAGUGUUAAAUAUGCUCUAAGAAAAGUAAAAUGUGGCCAGGCACACAGGCUCACACCUGUAAUCCCAGCACCUUGGGAGACUGAAGCGGGAGGAUCACUUGAGCCUAGGAGUUUGAGACCAGCCUGGAAAACAUGGUGAGACCCCGUCUCUAGUAAAAAAAAAAAAAAAAAAAAUUAAUUAACUUAAAAAAAAAAUAAAGUAAGCCCGGCUUGGUGGCAUGAACCUGUAGUCCCAACUACUUGGGAGGCUGAGGCGGGAGAAUUGCUUGAACCCGGAAGGCGGAAGUUGCAGUGAGCCGCUGGAGGUUGCAGUGAGCCAAGAUCGUGCCACUGCACUCCAACCUGGUGACAGAACAAGACUCCGUCUCAAAAAAAAAAAAAAAAAAAAAAAGUAAAAUGUGCUAAAAGCCAAGUUCCCAAUUGUCUCCUGGUUACGGAGAAAUAGAUGUUCCCAAUAACUCUCACGGUAACUAUGGUUGGCAUAAGGUGCAUUUAGACUAGCUUUAACAAUUAUUUUCUCAUUGAACUUCUUCACUCAGAUACUGCAGUAUUUCCAGACAGGUAAGUACCCUAACCUAUGUAAAAGUCCCCUUAGCGCUUGUUUUACCUUCACCCUAGGAAAUCUCACAUUCAGAGGAUACCUCAUCAACAUCAUCUGCUCAGAUGUCCUCUUGCUCAGCACUUGCAACAUUAGUGAAAUAACACAUUGAGUCUCACUCUGUCACCCAGGUGGAAGUACAGUGGUGCACUCUCGGCUUGCUUCCCAGGCUCAAGUGAUUCUCAUGCCUCAGCCGCCCAACUACCUGGGACUACAGGCGUGCGCCACCAUGCCUGGAUAAUUUUUGUAUUUUUUAGUAGAGACGGGGUUUCACCAUGUUGGCCAGGCUGUUCUCGAACUCCUGACCUCAGGUGCUAGGAUUAUAGGCGUGAGCCACCACGCCCGGACUAACAUGGAGUUUUUUAACUUUUGUUUUUGCCAAGGUAUCACCAGUCUGUGGGUACAAAAGGAGAGUAACAUGAACGAUUCAAAUUCCACUGGCUCUUGUUCCCAUGGAUUCACAGAAGUUCAGCCCCAUUUCAAAACUUCACAUUUGCUUCUGGGAAGCCCAUUCUGGAAAGUUUCUCUGUGGCCCUCUCCAGAAGGCAGCGCGACUUCCACCCAGCAACACAAGUCUCUGCAGCACCUGCCCCAGCAGCGCCAGCUGAGCCCCGGAAGCUGGGAAGGCUUAAGCUGACUCUUCUGCUGCACAUAGCAAAAAAUGGUCAUUUCUGUAGUUGCAGCUCCAGAUCUACAAUAAUCAAUCUAUAUCCAUAUUUUAUGGGGUUUUUUUGAGACAAAGUCUUGCUCUGUUACUCAGGCUGGAGUGCAGUGGCAUUAUCAUCAUUCACUUGUAGCCUUGACCUCCCUGGCUCAGGUGAUCCUGUCACCUCAGCCUUCCAAGUAGCUGAGACCACAGGCAUGCACCACUAAGCCUGGCUAAUUUUUCAAUUUUUAUUUUUCGUAGAGACAGGGUCUCCCUGGGUUGCCCAAACUGGUCUUGAAUUCCUGGGCUCAAGCAAUCCUCCUGUCCCGGCACCCCGAAGUGUUGGGACUACAGGCAUGAGCCACUGUGCACAGCCCUUUUUGUUUUUGUUUUUGUUUUUUUUUAAAGGUAAUUUCCCAGUGGAAUCCUCGAGAUUUCUUCACGUUUUUGGAAAAAUGAGUUACAUUUUAGAUUGUUUUCCUUUUUGGAAUUUAAUGGUAUACAUUAUAUUACAUAGCUAUGUUGAGCUCUAUUUCUAUUACACUAAAAAGUAGGCUAAUUGUCUUAACUUUCAUCAGUAAUGACAUUAAAUGUGUGAAGAUUAUACUUGGAAUAAAGCACUUGGAUUCAUUCAUUUCUUCAGUAAAUAUUUAUUGAGCACUAGUAUGUUCCAACGAGUGUCUGUCUACAUUCUGGGGACAAGUGAUAACUAAAUCCCUGUCCUCGUGGAGAGUUAACAAUCAACAAACUAACAAACAUUUAAUUUAUGUCAUCAACUCAUUUCCACAAAUAUAACAACAUCUUGACUUCAAGUUUCCUGAGUUUCUGGUCUAAAGAAUUGCUACCUUCAAGAGCUCAAAUCAUUUGUUGGGGAGAGAGGCCUGUGAUAUAUUUUCUCCUUUACAAUGAAAGUAGCUGUAAAAAGAGGAAGAGAAAUUCUGAGGGUAAAGAUAAAAAAUGUUGAAAUCUUCUUUCUGGAUUUCAGAUUGAGUCUCUUGCCCUAAUUGAUGCAAUUUACACUCCAUGCAUCUCCUUCCCUGGACCUUCUCCAGUUCUUGGGGACUACAGAUGAACUUACUUUUAAUGCAUUUUAUGGCAUUUGGAGGCCCUCCAGUGGACAAAUACUAUACCUGAAAAAAAUCCUUUUGCUGUGCUAAAGUGUUCAGGUGUGAAGUGUACUCAUGUUUGCAAAUCACUUUGAAAUAUAUAAACAAAAAUGAAUUAAUGGAUGAAUAGAGUGAUGCAUAGAUCAUUAGACAUGUGAUAAAAAUAACUGUUAAUUGUAGAAUCUAGAUGAUGAGUAUAUUAUAUGAUAUGGCCCACUGUAUAAUUCUUUCAACUUUUCUGUUUGAAUGUUUGAUAAUAAAAUAUUGAAUAAAAAUCUUUUUGCUAAAGAUUUAUGCCUUGUAGUUC
rnacentral:lncRNA from 1 species